AUGAACGCUGGCGGCGUGCCUAACACAUGCAAGUCGAGCGGCAGCGAGGGGUGCUUGCACCCUGUCGGCGAGCGGCGGACGGCUGAGUAACGCGUGGGAACGUGCCCCAAAGUGAGGAAUAACUGCCCGAAAGGGUAGCUAAUACCGCAUAUUAUCUUCGGAUCAAAGGAUUUAUCCGCUUUGGGAGCGGCUCGCGUCGGAUUAGGUAGUUGGUGAGGUAAUGGCUCACCAUGCCGACGGUCCGUAGCUGGUCUGAGAGGAUGACCAGCCAGACUGGAACUGAGACACGGUCCAGGCUCCUACGGGAGGCAGCAGUGAGGAAUCUUCCACAAUGGGCGAAAGCCUGAUGGAGCAACGCCGCGUGCAGGACGAAGGCCUUCGGGUUGUAAACUGCUUUUAUAAGUGAGGAAUAUGACGGUAACUUAUGAAUAAGGAUCGGCUAACUACGUG
rnacentral:rRNA from 1 species